rnacentral:rRNA from 1 species
UACGUAGGCAGCAAGCGUUGUUCGGAGUUACUGGGCGUAAAGAGUGCGUAGGCGGUCCUAUAAGUUCCGUGUGAAAUCUCCCGGCUCAACUGGGAGGGUGCGCGGAAGACUGUAGGGCUUGAGUGUGGGAGAGGUAAGCGGAAUUCCUGGUGUAGCGGUGAAAUGCGUAGAGAUCAUGAGGAAGACCAGUGGCGAAGGCGGGUCUCUGGACAGUUCCUGACACUGAGACACGAAGGCCAGGGGAGCAAACGGG